GGGCUUUACCCAUGGGGCACCUGGCAGGGCUGUGAGACCCACCCCUAGGGGAUGUGUUGCCGUGCUCCACCCUGGCGCCCACACUUGUGCUCUGAGACACAGUCUGUUUGCCCCCAGGCAGGCCCUACUCUGUGCCUCCCUGUGUGGAGGAGGCUCCAGGGCAGAAGCGCAAGAGGAAGGGCACCACCAAGCUGCAGGACUUCCACCAGUGGUACCUGGCUGCCUAUGCUGACCAUGCUGACAACAGGAGGCCCCGGCGAAAGGGCCCGUCCUUUGCAGACAUGGAGGUGCUGUACUGGAAGCACAUGAGGGAGCAACUGGAGGCCCUCCGGAAGCUGCAGAGGAGGGAGGCAAG